GACGAACGCUGGUGGCGUGCUUAACACAUGCAAGUCGAACGGGAUUUAGUAAACAGAAGCCUCGGUGGAAGAUUACUAAUGAGAGUGGCGAACGGGUGAGUAACGCGUGAGCAACCUGCCUAUGACAGUGGGAUAGCCUCGGGAAACCGGGAUUAAUACCGCAUAAAAUCGUAGAAACACAUGUUUUAACGGUCAAAGAUUUAUCGGUCAUAGAUGGGCUCGCGUCUGAUUAGCUAGUUGGUGAGAUAACAGCCCACCAAGGCGACGAUCAGUAGCCGGUCUGAGAGGAUGAACGGCCACAUUGGAACUGAGACACGGUCCAAACUCCUACGGGAGGCAGCAGUGGGGAAUAUUGCACAAUGGGGGAAACCCUGAUGCAGCGACGCCGCGUGAACGAAGAAGGUAUUCGUAUCGUAAAGUUCUGUCCUAUGGGAAGAUAAUGACAGUACCAUAGAAGAAAGCACCGGCUAAAUACGUG
rnacentral:rRNA from 1 species